rnacentral:rRNA from 1 species
UGAGGAAUAAGCUUUGUAGGAAAUGACAAAGUGAUGACGUUAGUUUAUGAAUAAGCCCCGGCUAAUUACGUGCCAGCAGCCGCGGUAAUACGUAAGGGGCGAGCGUUGUUCGGGAUCAUUGGGCGUAAAGGGUGAGUAGGCGGAUAUGUAAGUCUAUGUGUAGAAUACCACAGCUCAACUGUGGAACUAUGCUAGAAACUGCAUGACUAGAGUCUGAUAGGGGAAGUUAGAAUUCCUGGUGUAAGGGUGGAAUCUGUUGAUAUCAGGAAGAAUACCAGAGGCGAAGGCGAACUUCUAGGUCAAGACUGACGCUGAGUCACGAAAGCA